UUAUAUCAAGUUUUAUUGAGGCUUUGUGCCAGACAUGUUAUAGCCCAAUGUGUUAUGUUAUGUGUGUUAUGUGGGCAGCCGUUGUCUUCCUGUGUGUGUCUCUCCCCUUUCCCCCCCACUGUGUCUGUGUGUGUGUAUGUGUGUACGGCCGGUCGAUCUACCUCUCUGCACAGCUGCUGGUUAUUCCACUCACCAACUCUACAGUAUUUAUUCCUGGGUGAAGCUCCCCCCGGCUCCAGAUGGAUGCACCUACCAGUGUGACCUACUCCUCCAGACCUGUUGCCGUGGCUCAUCAUCCUCAAGCCUUCCUACCUUCCCGCUGGGAUUCCAGAAAGAAAGUUUGGAUCCAGCACUGCCUGCCCUCCUCGGCCCCUAUCCAGCUCGGAGUCAGCCUACCUUGUGUUUUCUGUCCUUGGCUGCUCUUCCAGUCCCUCAAGCUGUCUCCUCGGACAUGAUGUCUACAGCGCGGACUCAUUUUUCAACAGAGACCACUGUCGUCCUCCACGGAGGCUUCUAAGAAAAAAACUCCAACGUUGGAAACCGAGAGCUGCUGGUCUGGACCCACCAUAAAAACUUGGCAUUCAUCCAAUCCACCAAAAGACUCAACUCACGUCAAGCCAGGGUGCCAUCCCCAAUCCAUGGGUCGGACUGAGAGAGCCAACCAGGACCUAGGAGCAUCCCUUCGUUGUGUGUCUGCUCAGCGUCCGUCCUCCUGGACCAACAUCUGCCGUGGAUAGAGUACGCCCACAACUCUCUGACCACCUCCACCGCUGGCUUCUCACCUUUUGAGGUCGCCCUGGGAUACCAACACCCCCCCCCCCCCCUUGUUUCCUGCUCAGGAGAGGGAACUGGCUGUUCCCUCGGUUCAGGAGAACCUAAAGUAAAGUUUGGAGCAACUCACCACCGGCGCCAGAUCGUUGCACCUACCAGUGUGACCUACUCCUCCAGACCUGUUGCCGUGGCUCAUCACGCUCAAGCCUUCCUACCUUCCCGCUGGGAUUCCAGAAAGAAAGUUUGGAUCCAGCACUGCCUGCCCUCCUCGGCCCCUAUCCAGCUCGGAGUCAGCCUACCUU